UUUCCUGAUAGUUUAAAAAGAAUAAAAUUUUGAAGAAAUUUAGGUAGAAUUUUCUUUUGGAAAA
rnacentral:tRNA from 1 species